AGGAAAUACAUGAAAGAGAGAAGAAAAACUACAGAAGAAAGUGAUGAAACAAAGAAAUGAACAUCAGGAGAUCUGAAAACCAAAAAAAGGGGAGAGGAAGAUCAAAAAGAAACCUAAAACAGAAGAUGUGUGAAAAACAUAAAGAAAGCAAUGGAUCGUCACGGAACCAGAGAACCAGAGAGGUCGGAGGGGAAGAUCUGCCCCCAAAAAGUAGGAAAGAGGAUUAGUGAUGUGUUGAACAGAUUGGGAACUAAAUUUGAAGGACUGCCCAUUUGUUGGGGACUGACCAUAUCUCUGACAUGAACUGAACGGAUAGGACACUAAAUUUCCUGGAGGGCUUCUCCCUUGGUGGCAGACUUCAUGUCUCUGCCAUGAAUUGAACUAACGGGACACUAAAUUUCCUGGAGGACUCCUCCCUAGGUGGCUGACCUCAUGAUUCUGCCAUGAACGGAAUUAUUGGAUAGCAAAUUUCGGGGGGGGGGGGUACCCUUCUUUGUGACUGACUUAAUGUCUCUGCCAUAAAUUGAACUGAGGGAAAAGUAAAUUUCCAGGAGGGCUUCACAGGACAGAAUAUUUCCUCGAGGCCACCUUGUUUGGUGGCUGACAUCAUGUCUCUGCCAUGAACUGAACUGAUAGGACACCAAAUUUCAAGGAGGGCUCCUCCCUUGGUGACUGAUCAUGUUGCUGCCAUGUAUUAUUGUAAUAAACAUGUUAGAUAAUUUGAGUGUGUUUGGCAGUUAAUGUUAUGAGCCUUGAAGAAGCAAAAGAUGGGAAGACUCAGGUGUGACAUGUCUGACAUCGGCCAGUGUUGAAGUCUGAUAGCGAAUGACUGCUGACCGAUAACUACAAUGGGAGAGCUCUGUUGAGAGAUCAGGAAGAAACCUAAAAUCGAACUUGUGUGAAAGACAGAAAGGAAGAAAAAGGAACAUAAAGGGACCACAAAAUGGGAUAAGAGGGAGAAGAAGAUCUGCUCCAAAGAAGAGGGACAAAAGGACACUGAUAUAAUCAAUUGAUUGGCGACUAAAUUUCCUGGAGAGCUUCUGUCUUGGUGGCUGACUUCAUGUCUCUGCCGUGUAUUACUGUGAAAUACAUGUUAGAUAAUUUGAGUGUGUUUAGCAUUUAAUGUUCUGAGCCUUGAAGAAGCAAGGCUAAAGAUGCUGAAAUUUAUUAUUUUUAAUUAAUUUUAGACUAAAGCAAAGAGAUCAGGAAGAAACCUAAAACCAAAAUUGUGUGAAAAACAGAAAGGAAGGAAGAGGACCAUCAGGGGACCAGAAAACAGGGGAAGAUGGAGAAGAAGAUCUGCUCCAAAGAAAAGGGACAAAAGGAGAGUGACAUAGAGAAUUGAUUGGGUAACAAAUUUCCUGGAGUGCUCAGUUCUUGGUGACUGACUUCAUGUCUCUUCAAUGACUUAAACUGAUAGGACAGAAUAUUUCCUGGAGUGCUUCUCUCUUGGUGGCAGACUUCAUGUCUCUGCCAAGAAUUGUAGUGAUAGGAAAGUAUAUUUCCAGGAGGGCAUAUCUUUUGGUGGAUGACUACAUGUCUCUGCCAGGAUGUGAACUCAUAGGAGAGAGUAUUGCCUGGAGUGAUUUUCUCUUGGUGGCAGACUUCAUAUCUCUGCCACGAAUUGAACUGAUAGGACAGAAUAAUUCCUGGAGGGCUUCUCUCUUUGUGGCUGACUUCAUGUCUUUGCCAUGAAUUGCACUGUUAGGACAGAAUAUUUCCUGGACUAUUUUUCUCUUGGUGGCUGACUUCAUGUCUCUGCCAUGACUUGUACUGAUAGGAAAGAAUAUUUCCUGGAUUGCUUCUCUCUUGAUGGCUGACUUCAUGUCUCUGCCAUGAAUUGUACUGAUAGGACAGAGUAUUGCCUGGAGGGAUCGUCUCCUGGCGGCUGACUUCAUGUCUCUGCCACGAUCUGUACUGAUAGGAAAGAAUAUUUCCUGGAUUGCUUCUCUCUUGGUGGCUGACUUCAUGUCUCUGCCAUGAAUUCUACUGAUAGGACAGAGUAUUGCCUGGAGGGAUUGUCUCUUGGCGGCUGACUUCAUGUCUCUGCCACGAUCUGUACUGAUAGGAAAGAAUAUUUCCUGGAUUGCUUCUCUCUUGGUGGCUGACUUCAUGUCUCUGCCAUGAAUUGUACUGAUAGGACAGAGUAUUGCCUGGAGGGCUUGACUCUUGGUGGCUGACUUCAUGUCUCUCCCACGAAUUGUACUGAUAGCUGAGAAUAUUUCCUGGAUUGCUUCUCUCUUGGUGGCUGACUUCAUGUCUCUGCCACGAUCUGUACUGAUAGGAAAGAAUAUUUUCUGGAUUGCUUCUCUCUUGGUGGCUGACUUCAUGUCUCUGCCAUGAAUUGUAUUGAUAGGAAAGAAUAUUUCCUGGAUUGUUUCUCUCUUGGUGGCUGACUUCAUGUCUCUGCCACGAUUUGUACUGAUAGGAUAGAAUAUUUCCUGGAAUGCUUCUCCCUUGGCGGUUGACUUCAUGUCUCUGCCAUGAAUUGUACUGAUAGGACAGAGUAUUGCCUGGAGGGCUUGACUCUUGGUGGCUGACUUCAUGUCUCUGCCACGAAUUGUACGGAUAGGACAGAUUAUUGCCUGGAGGGAUUAUAUCUUGGUGGCUGACUUCAUGUCUCUGCCAUGAAUUGAACUGAUAAGACACAAUAUUUCCUGGAGGGCUUAUCUCUUGGUGGCUGACUUCAUGUCUCUGCCACGAUUUUUACUGAUAGGAAAGAAUAUUUCCUGGAUUGCUUCUCUCUUGAUUACUGACUUCAUGUCUCUACCAUGAACUGUACUGAUAGGACAGAGUAUUGCCUGGAGGGCUUCUCUCUUGGUGGCUGACUUCAUGUCUCUGCCACGAUCUGUACUGAUAGGAAAGAAUAUUUCCUGGAUUGAUUCGCUCUUGACGGCUGACUUCAUGUCUCUGCCAUGAAUUGUACUGAUAGGACAGAGUUUUGCCUUGAGUGCUUCUCUCUUGGUGGCUGACUUCAUGUCUCUGCCAUGUAUUUCUGUGAAAUACAUGUUAGAAAAUCGACUGUGUUUAGUACAUACUUCUCCGAGACCUGACGAAGAAAAGACGGCAAGACACGGCUGUUACAUCUCUGACAUCUGCCAGCGUUGCAACCCGAUUGCGAAGGCCUGCUGACCAAGAACUACAAUGGGAGAGCUCUGUUCAGAUUGAAGAAAAGAGAUCAGGAAGAAACCUAAUACUGGACACCUGUGGAAGACAGAGAGGAAAAAAAGGAUCAUCACGGGAGAAGAAAAUGGAAGAAGAUGAAGAAGAAGAUCUGCUCCAAAGAGAAGGGGAAAAAGGAGAGUGACGUAAAGAAGUGAUUGGGGACUAAGUUUUCUUGAAGUGCUCAGUUUCUGGUGGCUGACUUCAUGUCUCUGCCAUGAAUAAUACUGAUAGGACAGAAUAUAUCCUGGAGUAUUUUUCUCUUGGUGGCUGACUUCAUGUCUCUGCCAUGAAUUGUACUGAUAGGUCAGAAUAUUUCCUGGGGACUAAGUUUUCUUGAAGUGCUCAGUUUAUGGUGGCUGACUUCAUGUCUCUGCCAUGAAUAAUACUGAUAGGACAGAAUAUAUUCUGGAUUGAUUCUCUCUUGGUGGCUGACUUCAUGUCUCUGCCAUGAAUUGUAUUGAUAGGAAAGAAUAUUUCCUGGAUUGUUUCUCUCUUGGUGGCUGACUUCAUGUCUCUGCCACGAUCUGUACUGAUAGGAAAGAAUAUUUUCUGGAUUGCUUCUCUCUUGGUGGCUGACUUCAUGUCUCUGCCAUGAAUUGUAUUGAAAGGAAAGAAUAUUUCCUGGACUAUUUUUCUCUUGGUGGCUGACUUCAUGUCUCUGCCAUGAAUUGUACUGAUAGGACAGAGUAUUGCCUGGAGGGCUUGACUCUUGGUAGCUGACUUCAUGUCUCUGCCACGAAUUGUACGGAUAGGACAGAUUAUUGCCUGGAGGGAUUAUAUCUUGGUGGCUGACUUCAUGUCUCUGCCAUGAAUUGAACUGAUAAGACAGAAUAUUUCCUGGAGGGCUUAUCUCUUGGUGGCUGACUUCAUGUCUCUUCCACGAUUUUUACUGAUAGGAAAGAAUAUUUCCUGGAUUGCUUCUCUCUUGAUUACUGACUUCAUGUCUCUACCAUGAACUGUACUGAUAGGACAGAGUAUUGCCUGGAGGGCUUCUCUCUUGGUGGCUGACUUCAUGUCUCUGCCACGAUCUGUACUGAUAGGAAAGAAUAUUUCCUGGAUUGAUUCGCUCUUGGCGGCUGACUUCAUGUCUCUGCCAUGAAUUGUACUGAUAGGACAGAGUUUUGCCUUGAGUGCUUCUCUCUUGGUGGCUGACUUCAUGUCUCUGCCAUGUGUUUCUGUGAAAUACAUGUUAGAAAAUCGACUGUGUUUAGUACAUACUUCUCCGAGACCUGACGAAGAAAAGACGGCAAGACACGGCUGUGACAUCUCUGACAUCUGCCAGCGUUGCAACCCGAUUGCGAAGUCCUGCUGACCAAGAACUACAAUGGGAGAGCUCCGUUCAGAUUGAAGAAAAGAGAUCAGGAAGAAACCUAAUACUGGACACCUGUGGAAGACAGAGAGGGGAAAAAGGAUCAUCACGGGAGAAGAAAAUGGAAGAAGAUGAAGAAGAAGAUCUGCUCCAAAGAGAAGGGGAAAAAGGAGAGUGACGUAAAGAAGUGAUUGGGGACUAAGUUUUCUUGAAGUGCUCAGUUUCUGGUGGCUGACUUCAUGUCUCUGCCAUGAAUAAUACUGAUAGGACAGAAUAUAUCCUGGAGUAUUUUUCUCUUGGUGGCUGACUUCAUGUCUCUGCCAUGAAUUGUACUGAUAGGUCAGAAUAUUUCCUGGGGACUAGGUUUUCUUGAAGUGCUCAGUUUAUGGUGGCUGACUUCAUGUCUAUUCCAUGAAUAAUACUGAUAGGACAGUAUAUAUUCUGGAUUGUUUCUCUCUUGGUGGCUGACUUCAUGUCUCUGCCACGAUCUGUACUGAUAGGAAAGAAUAUUUCCUGGAUUGCUUCUCUCUUGGUGGCUGACUUCAUGUCUCUGCCAUGAAUACUAUGGAUAGGACAGAAUAUUUCCUGGAUUGUUUCUCUCUUGAUGGCUGAAUUCAUGUCGCUGCCACGAUUUGUACUGAUAGGAUAGAAUAUUUCCUGGAUUGCUUCUCCCUUGGCGGCUGACGUUAUGUCUCUGCCAUGAAUUGUAUUGAAAGGAAAGAAUAUUUCCUGGUCUAUUUUUCUCUUGGUGGCUGACUUCAUGUCUCUGCCAUGAAUUGUACUGAUAGCUCAGAAUAUUUCCUGAAGGUCUUGUCUCUUGGUGGCUGACUUCAUGUCUCUGCCAUGAAUACUAUGGAUAGGAAAGAAUAUUUCCUGGAUUGCUUCUCUCUUAGAGGCUGACUUCAUGUCUAUGCCAUGAAUAAUAGUCAUAGGACAGAAUAUAUCCUGGAAUAUUUUUCUCUUGGUGGCUGACUUCAUGUCACUGCCAUGAAUUGUACUGAUAGGAAAGAAUAUUGCCUGGAGGGCUUAUCUCUUGGUGGCUGACUUCAUGUCUCUGCCACGAUUUGUACUGAUAAGACAGAAUAUUUCCUGGAUUGCUUCUCUCUUGAUGGCUGACUUCAUGUCUCUGCCACGAAUUGUACGGAUAGGACAGAAUAUUUCCUGGAGGGCUUCUCUCUUGCUGGCUGACUUCAUGUCUCUGCCAUGAAUUGUACUGAUAGCUCAGAUAUUUUGCGGAGGUCUUGUCUCUUGGUGGCUGACUUCAUGUUUCUGCCAUGAAUACUAUGGAUAGGACAGAAUAUUUCCUGGAUGUCUUUUCUCUUGGUUGCUGACUUCAUGUCUCUGCCAUGAAUUGUAGGGAUAGGACAGAAUAUUUCCUGGAGGGCUUGUCUCUUGGUGGCUGACUUCAUGUCUCUGCCACGAUUUGUUGUGAUAGGAAAGAAUAUUUCCUGGACUAUUUUUCUCUUGGUGGCUGACUUCAUGUCUCUGCCACGAUUUGUACUGAUAGGAAAGAAUAUUUCCUGGACUAUUUUUCUCUUGGUGGCUGACUUCAUGUCUCUGCCACGAUCUGUACUGAUAGGAAAGAAUAUUUCCUGGAUUGAUUCGCUCUUGGCGGCUGACUUCAUGUCUCUGCCAUGAAUUGUACUGAUAGGACAGAGUUUUGCCUUGAGUGCUUCUCUCUUGGUGGCUGACUUCAUGUCUCUGCCAUGUAUUUCUGUGAAAUACAUGUUAGAAAAUCGACUGUGUUUAGUACAUACUUCUCCAAGACCUGACGAAGAAAAGACGGCAAGACACAGCUAUGACAUCUCUGACAUCUGCCAGCGUUGUAACCCGAUUGCGAAGUCCUGCUGACCAAGAACUACAAUGGGAGAGCUCCGUUCAGAUUGAAGAAAAGAGAUCAGGAAGAAACCUAAUACUGGACACCUGUGGAAGACAGAGAGGGGAAAAAGGAUCAUCACGGGAGAAGAAAAUGGAAGAAGAUGAAUAAGAAGAUGUGCUGCAAAGAGAAGGGGAAAAAGGAGAGUGACGUAAAGAAGUGAUUGGGGACUAAGUUUUCUUGAAGUGCUCAGUUUCUGGUGGCUGACUUCAUGUCUCUGCCAUGAAUAAUACUGAUAGGACAGAAUAUAUCCUGGAGUAUUUUUCUCUUGGUGGCUGACUUCAUGUCUCUGCCAUGAAUUGUACUGAUAGGUCAGAAUAUUUCCUGGGGACUAGGUUUUCUUGAAGUGCUCAGUUUAUGGUGGCUGACUUCAUGUCUAUUCCAUGAAUAAUACUGAUAGGACAGUAUAUAUUCUGGAUUGUUUCUCUCUUGGUGGCUGACUUCAUGUCUCUGCCACGAUCUGUACUGAUAGGAAAGAAUAUUUCCUGGAUUGCUUCUCUCUUGGUGGCUGACUUCAUGUCUCUGCCAUGAAUACUAUGGAUAGGACAGAAUAUUUCCUGGAUUGUUUCUCUCUUGGUGGCUGACUUCAUGUCUCUGCCACGAUUUGUACUGAUAGGAUAGAAUAUUUCCUGGAUUGCUUCUCCCUUGGCGGCUGACUUCAUGUCUCUGCCAUGAAUUGUAUUGAAAGGAAAGAAUAUUUCUUGGACUAUUUUUCUCUUGGUGGCUGACUACAGGUCUCUGCCAUGAAUACUAUGCAUAGGACAGAAUAUUUCCUGGAUGUCUUGUCUCUUGGUGGCUGACUUCAUGUCUCUGCCAUGUAUUUCUGUGAAAUACAUGUUAGAAAAUCGACUGUGUUUAGUACAUACUGCUCCGAGACCUGACGAAGAAAAGACGGCAAGACACGGGUGUGACAUCUCUGACAUCUGCCAGUGUUGCAAUCCGAUUGCGAAGGCCUGCUGACCAAGAACUACAAUGCGAGAGCCCUGUUCAGAUCGAAGAAAAGAGAUCAGGAAGAAACCUAAUACAGGACAUCUGUGGAAGACAGAGAGGGGAAAAAGGAUCACCACGGGAGAAGAAAAUGGAAGAAGAUGAAUAAGAAGAUGUGCUCCAAAGAGAAGGGGAAAAAGGAGAGUGACGUAAAGAAGUGAUUGGGGACUAAGUUUUCUUGAAGUGCUCAUUUUCUGGUGGCUGACUUAAUGUCUAUGCCAUGAAUUGUAUUGAUAGGAAAGAAUAUUUCCUGGAUUGUUUCUCUCUUGAUGGCUGAAUUCAUGUCGCUGCCACGAUUUGUACUGAUAGGAUAGAAUAUUUCCUGGAUUGCUUCUCCCUUGGCGGCUGACGUUAUGUCUCUGCCAUGAAUUGUAUUGAAAGGAAAGAAUAUUUCCUGGUCUAUUUUUCUCUUGGUGGCUGACUUCAUGUCUCUGCCAUGAAUUGUACUGAUAGCUCAGAAUAUUUCCUGAAGGUCUUGUCUCUUGGUGGCUGACUUCAUGUCUCUGCCAUGAAUACUAUGGAUAGGAAAGAAUAUUUCCUGGAUUGCUUCUCUCUUAGAGGCUGACUUCAUGUCUAUGCCAUGAAUAAUAGUCAUAGGACAGAAUAUAUCCUGGAAUAUUUUUCUCUUGGUGGCUGACUUCAUGUCACUGCCAUGAAUUGUACUGAUAGGAAAGAAUAUUGCCUGGAGGGCUUAUCUCUUGGUGGCUGACUUCAUGUCUCUGCCACGAUUUGUACUGAUAAGACAGAAUAUUUCCUGGAUUGCUUCUCUCUUGAUGGCUGACUUCAUGUCUCUGCCACGAAUUGUACGGAUAGGACAGAAUAUUUCCUGGAGGGCUUCUCUCUUGCUGGAUGACUUCAUGUCUCUGCCAUGAAUUGUACUGAUAGCUCAGAUAUUUUGCGGAGGUCUUGUCUCUUGGUGGCUGACUUCAUGUUUCUGCCAUGAAUACUAUGGAUAGGACAGAAUAUUUCCUGGAUGUCUUUUCUCUUGGUUGCUGACUUCAUGUCUCUGCCAUGAAUUGUAGGGAUAGGACAGAAUAUUUCCUGGAGGGCUUGUCUCUUGGUGGCUGACUUCAUGUCUCUGCCACGAUUUGUUGUGAUAGGAAAGAAUAUUUCCUGGACUAUUUUUCUCUUGGUGGCUGACUUCAUGUCUCUGCCACGAUUUGUACUGAUAGGAAAGAAUAUUUCCUGGACUAUUUUUCUCUUGGUGGCUGACUUCAUGUCUCUGCCACGAUCUGUACUGAUAGGAAAGAAUAUUUCCUGGAUUGAUUCGCUCUUGGCGGCUGACUUCAUGUCUCUGCCAUGAAUUGUACUGAUAGGACAGAGUUUUGCCUUGAGUGCUUCUCUCUUGGUGGCUGACUUCAUGUCUCUGCCAUGUAUUUCUGUGAAAUACAUGUUAGAAAAUCGACUGUGUUUAGUACAUACUUCUCCAAGACCUGACGAAGAAAAGACGGCAAGACACAGCUAUGACAUCUCUGACAUCUGCCAGCGUUGUAACCCGAUUGCGAAGGCCUGCUGACCAAGAACUACAAUGGGAGAGCUCUGUUCAGAUUGAAGAAAAGAGAUCAGGAAGAAACCUAAUACAGGACAUCUGUGGAAGACAGAGAGGAAAAAAAGGAUGAUCACGGGAGAAGAAAAUGGAAGAAGAUGAAUAAGAAGAUGUGCUGCAAAGAGAAGGGGGAAAAGGACAGUGACGUAAAGAAGUGAUUGGGGACUAAGUUUUCUUGAAGUGCUCAGUUUCUGGUGGCUGACUUCAUGUCUAUGACAUGAAUAAUAGUGAUAGGACAGAAUAUAUCCUGGAAUAUUUUUCUCUUGGUGGCUGACUUCAUGUCUCUGCCAUGAAUUGUACUGAUUGGAAAGAAUAUUUCGUGGAUUGCUUCUCUCUUGGUGGCUGACUUCAUGUCUCUGCCAUGACUUGUACUGAUAGGAAAGAAUAUUUCCUGGACUAUUUUUCUCUUGGUGUCUGACUUCAUGUCUCUGCCACGAUUUGUACUGAUUGGAUAGAAGAUUUCCUGAAUUACUUCUCCCUUGGCGGCUGACUUCAUGUCUCUGCCAUGAAUUGUAUUGAAAGGAAAGAAUAUUUCCUGGACUAUUUUUCUCUUGGUGGCUGACUUCAUGUCUCUGCCAUGAAUUGUACUGAUAGGAAAGAAUAUUGCCUGGAGGGAUUAUAUCUUGGUGGCUGACUUCAUGUCUCUGCCAAGAAUUGAACUGAUAAGACAGAAUAUUUCUUGGAGGGCUUAUCUCUUGGUGGCUGACUUCAUGUCUCUUCCACGAUUUGUACUGAUAGGAAAGAAUAUUUCCUGGAUUGCUUCUCACUUGAUGGCUGACUUCAUGUCUCUGCCAUGAAUAGUAGGGAUAGGACAGAAUAUUUCCUGGAGGGCUUGUCUCUUGGUGGCUGACUUCAUGUCUCUGCCACGAUUUGUACUGAUAGGAAAGAAUAUUUCCUGGAUUGCUUCUCUCUUGGUGGCUGACUUCAUGUCUCUGCCCUGAAUUGUACGGAUAGGACAGAGUAUUGAAUGGAGGGCUUGACUCGUGGUGGCUGACUUCAUGUCUCUGCCACGAUUUGUACUGAUAGGAAAGAAUAUUUCCUGGAUUGCUUCUCACUUGAUGGCUGACUUUAUGUCUCUGCCAUGAAUUGUAGGGAUAGGACAGAAUAUGUCCUGAAUUGCUUCUCUCUAGGUGGUUGACUUCAUGUCUCUGCCAUGAAUUGUACGGAUAGGAAAGAUUAUUGCCUGGAGGGAUUUUCUCUUGGUGGCUGACUUCAUGUCUCUGCCACGAUUUGUACUGAUAGGAAAGAAUAAUUCCUGGAUUGCUUCUCACUUGAUGGCUGACUUCAUGUCUCUGCCAUGAAUUGUACUGAUAGGACAGGGUAUUGCCUGGAGGGCUUGACUCUUGGUGGCUGACUUCAUGUCUCUGCCACGAUUUGUAAUGAUAGGAAAGAAUAUUUCCUGGAUUGCUUCUCACUUGAUGGCUGACUUUAUGUCUCUGCCAUGAAUUGUAGGGAUAGGACAGAAUAUUUCCUGGAGGGCUUGUCUCUUGGUGGCUGACUUCAUGUCUCUGCCACGAUUUGUACUGAUAGGAAAGAAUAUUUCCUGGACUAUUUUUCUCUUGGUGGCUGACUUCAUGUCUCUGCCAUGAAUACUAUGGAUAGGACAGAAUAUUUCCUGGAUGUCUUGUCUCUUGGUGGCUGACUUCAUGUCUCUGCCACGAUUUGUAGUGAUAGGAAAGAAUCUGUCCUGAAUUGCUUCUCUCUUGGUGGCUGACUUCAUGUCUCUGCCACGAUUUGUAGUGAUAGGAAAGAAUAUUGCCUGGAUUGCUUCUCUCUUGAUGGCUGACUUCAUGUCUCUGCCAUGAAUUGUACUGAAAGGACAGAGUAUUGCCUGGAGGGCUUGACUCUUUGUGGCUGACUUCAUGUCUCUCCCACGAAUUGUACUGAUAGCUGAGAAUAUUUCCUGGAUUGAUUCUCUCUUGGUGGCUGACUUCAUUUCUCUGCCAUGAAUUGUACGGAUAGGACAGAAUAUUGCCUUGAGGGAUUGUCUCUUGGCGGCUGACUUCAUGUCUCUGCCACGAUCUGUACUGAUAGGAAAGAAUAUUUCCUGGAUUGAUUCGCUCUUGGCGGCUGACUUCAUGUCUCUGCCACGUAUUUCUGUGAAAUAAAUGUUAGAAAAAUCGAGUGUGUUUAGUAUAUUCUUCUCCAAGACCUGACGAAGAAAAGAUGGCAAGACACAGCUGUGAGAUCUCUGACAUCUGCCAGCGUUGCAACCCGAUUGUGAAGGCCUGCUGACCAAGAACUACAAUGGGAGAGCUUUGUUCAGAUUGAAGAAAAGAGAUCAGGAAGAAACCUAAUACAGAACAUCUGUGGAAGACAGAGAGAAAAAAUAGGAUCAUCACGGGAGAAGAAAAUGGAAGAAGAUGAAUAAGAAGAUGUGCUGCAAAGAGAAGGGGAAAAAGGACAGUGACGUAAAGAAGUGAUUGGGGACUAAGUUUUCUUGAUGUGCUCAGUUUCUGGUGGCUGACUUCAUGUCUAUGACAUGAAUAAUAGUGAUAGGACAGAAUAUAUCCUGGAAUAUUUUUCUCUUGGUGGCUGACUUCAUGUCUCUGCCAUGAAUUGUACUGAUUGGAAAGAAUAUUUCGUGGAUUGCUUCUCUCUUGGUGGCUGACUUCAUGUCUCUGCCAUGACUUGUACUGAUAGGAAAGAAUAUUUCCUGGACUAUUUUUCUCUUGGUGGCUGACUUCAUGUCUCUGCCACGAUUUGUACUGAUUGGAUAGAAGAUUUCCUGAAUUACUUCUCCCUUGGCGGCUGACUUCAUGUCUCUGCCAUGAAUUGUAUUGAAAGGAAAGAAUAUUUCCUGGACUAUUUUUCUCUUGGUGGCUGACUUCAUGUCUCUGCCAUGAAUUGUACUGAUAGGAAAGAAUAUUGCCUGGAGGGAUUAUAUCUUGGUGGCUGACUUCAUGUCUCUGCCAAGAAUUGAACUGAUAAGACAGAAUAUUUCUUGGAGGGCUUAUCUCUUGGUGGCUGACUUCAUGUCUCUUCCACGAUUUGUACUGAUAGGAAAGAAUAUUUCCUGGAUUGCUUCUCACUUGAUGGCUGACUUCAUGUCUCUGCCAUGAAUAGUAGGGAUAGGACAGAAUAUUUCCUGGAGGGCUUGUCUCUUGGUGGCUGACUUCAUGUCUCUGCCACGAUUUGUACUGAUAGGAAAGAAUAUUUCCUGGAUUGCUUCUCUCUUGGUGGCUGACUUCAUGUCUCUGCCCUGAAUUGUACGGAUAGGACAGAGUAUUGAAUGGAGGGCUUGACUCGUGGUGGCUGACUUCAUGUCUCUGCCACGAUUUGUACUGAUAGGAAAGAAUAUUUCCUGGAUUGCUUCUCACUUGAUGGCUGACUUUAUGUCUCUGCCAUGAAUUGUAGGGAUAGGACAGAAUAUGUCCUGAAUUGCUUCUCUCUAGGUGGUUGACUUCAUGUCUCUGCCAUGAAUUGUACGGAUAGGAAAGAUUAUUGCCUGGAGGGAUUUUCUCUUGGUGGCUGACUUCAUGUCUCUGCCACGAUUUGUACUGAUAGGAAAGAAUAAUUCCUGGAUUGCUUCUCACUUGAUGGCUGACUUCAUGUCUCUGCCAUGAAUUGUACUGAUAGGACAGGGUAUUGCCUGGAGGGCUUGACUCUUGGUGGCUGACUUCAUGUCUCUGCCACGAUUUGUAAUGAUAGGAAAGAAUAUUUCCUGGAUUGCUUCUCACUUGAUGGCUGACUUUAUGUCUCUGCCAUGAAUUGUAGGGAUAGGACAGAAUAUUUCCUGGAGGGCUUGUCUCUUGGUGGCUGACUUCAUGUCUCUGCCACGAUUUGUACUGAUAGGAAAGAAUAUUUCCUGGACUAUUUUUCUCUUGGUGGCUGACUUCAUGUCUCUGCCAUGAAUACUAUGGAUAGGACAGAAUAUUUCCUGGAUGUCUUGUCUCUUGGUGGCUGACUUCAUGUCUCUGCCACGAUUUGUAGUGAUAGGAAAGAAUCUGUCCUGAAUUGCUUCUCUCUUGGUGGCUGACUUCAUGUCUCUGCCACGAUUUGUAGUGAUAGGAAAGAAUAUUGCCUGGAUUGCUUCUCUCUUGAUGGCUGACUUCAUGUCUCUGCCAUGAAUUGUACUGAAAGGACAGAGUAUUGCCUGGAGGGCUUGACUCUUUGUGGCUGACUUCAUGUCUCUCCCACGAAUUGUACUGAUAGCUGAGAAUAUUUCCUGGAUUGAUUCUCUCUUGGUGGCUGACUUCAUUUCUCUGCCAUGAAUUGUACGGAUAGGACAGAAUAUUGCCUUGAGGGAUUGUCUCUUGGCGGCUGACUUCAUGUCUCUGCCACGAUCUGUACUGAUAGGAAAGAAUAUUUCCUGGAUUGAUUCGCUCUUGGCGGCUGACUUCAUGUCUCUGCCACGUAUUUCUGUGAAAUAAAUGUUAGAAAAAUCGAGUGUGUUUAGUAUAUUCUUCUCCAAGACCUGACGAAGAAAAGAUGGCAAGACACAGCUGUGAGAUCUCUGACAUCUGCCAGCGUUGCAACCCGAUUGUGAAGGCCUGCUGACCAAGAACUACAAUGGGAGAGCUUUGUUCAGAUUGAAGAAAAGAGAUCAGGAAGAAACCUAAUACAGAACAUCUGUGGAAGACAGAGAGAAAAAAUAGGAUCAUCACGGGAGAAGAAAAUGGAAGAAGAUGAAUAAGAAGAUGUGCUGCAAAGAGAAGGGGAAAAAGGACAGUGACGUAAAGAAGUGAUUGGGGACUAAGUUUUCUUGAUGUGCUCAGUUUCUGGUGGCUGACUUCAUGUCUCUGCCAUGAAUUGUACUGAUAGGAAAGAAUAUUUCCUGGACUAUUUUUCUCUUGGUGGCUGACUUCAUGUCUCUGCCACGAUUUGUACUGAUAGGAUAGAAUAUUUCCUGGAUUGCUUCUCCCUUGGCGGCUGACUUCAUGUCUCUGCCAUGAAUUAUAUUGAAAGGAAUGAAUAUUUCCUGUUCUAUUUUUCUCUUGGUGGCUGACUUCAUGUCUCUGCCAUGAAUUGUACUGAUAGGAAAGAAUAUUUUCUGGAUUGCUUCUCUCUUGGUGGUUGACUUCAUGUCUCUGCCACGAAUUGUAUGUAUUGGACAGAAUAUUUCCUGGAGGGCUUCUCUCUUGGUGGCUGACUUCAUGUCUCUGCCAUGAAUUGUACUGAUAGCUCAGAUAUUUUCUGGAGGUCUUGUCUCUUGGUGGCUGACUUCAUGUCUCUGCCAUGAAUACUAUGGAUAGGACAGAAUAUUUCCUGGAUGUCUUGUCUCUUGGUGGCUGACUUCAUGUCUCUGCCACGAUUUGUAGUGAUAGGACAGAAUAUUUCCUGGAGGGCUUGUCUCUUGGUGGUUGACUUCAUGUCUCUGCCACGAUUUGUACUGAUAGGAAAGAAUAUUUCCUGGACUAUUUUUCUCUUGGUGGCUGACUUCAUGUCUCUGCCACGA